rnacentral:rRNA from 1 species
AUUGCCCUAGUAACGGCGAGUGAAGCGGCAACAGCUCAAAUUUGAAAUCUGGCGCUUUCAGCGUCCGAGUUGUAAUUUGCAGAGGGCGCUUUGGCGUUGGCAGCGGUCCAAGUUCCUUGGAACAGGUCGUCACAGAGGGUGAGAAUCCCGUACGUGGCCGCAUGUCUUCGCCGUGUAAAGCCCCUUCGACGAGUCGAGUUGUUUGGGAAUGCAGCUCUAAAUGGGAGGUAAAUUUCUUCUAAAGCUAAAUACUGGCCAGAGACCGAUAGCGCACAAGUAGAGUGAUCGAAAGAUGAAAAGCACUUUGGAAAGAGAGUCAAACAGCACGUGAAAUUGUUGAAAGGGAAGCGCUUGCAGCCAGACUUGCCUGCCGUUGCUCAUCCGGGCUUUUGCCCGGUGCAUUCUUCGGUAGGCAGGCCAGCAUCAGUUUGGGCGGUGGGAUAAAGGUCUCUGUCACGUACCUCCUUUCGGGGAGGCCUUAUAGGGGAGACGUCAUGCCACCAGCCUGGACUGAGGUCCGCGCAUCUGCUAGGAUGCUGGCGUAAUGGCUGUAAGCGGCCCGUCUUGAAACACGGACCAAGGAGUCUAACAUCUAUGCGAGUGUUUGGGUGUCAAGCCCAAGCGCGUAAUGAAAGUGAACGGAGGUGGGACCCCGCAAGGGUGCACCAUCGACCGAUCCUGAUGUCUUCGGAUGGAUUUGAGUAAGAGCAUGGCUGUUGGGACCCGAAAGAUGGUGAACUAUGCUUGAAUAGGGUGAAGCC